CGUAGGUGGCAAGCGUUAUCCGGAAUUAUUGGGCGUAAAGCGCGCGUAGGCGGCAAGAAAAGUCUGAUGUGAAAGCCCCCGGCUCAACCGGGGAGGGUCAUUGGAAACUGUUUGCUUGAGUACAGAAGAGGAGAGUGGAAUUCCAUGUGUAGCGGUGAAAUGCGCAGAGAUAUGGAGGAACACCAGUGGCGAAGGCGGCUCUCUGGUCUGUAACUGACGCUGAUGUGCGAAAGCGUGGGGGAUCAAACAGGAUU
rnacentral:rRNA from 1 species